rnacentral:lncRNA from 1 species
CCUAAACAUUAAAAAGAGUACAAAAAUACAUUUUUGCUGAUACAAAAACAUAAAAGGAGAGCCUGCUAAUAGGUUAGCAGCUAUUCGUACAUAAGGAGAAUUUUAUCAAAUGCCAGUUUGAAAGUGAUUCCAAUACCUCUUAUCAUCUAUACCUAAAAUUGCCAUCAUCUUUGAAGAAAUUGAAACAUGUCCUUCCCGUUCUUAUCAAUCCAAAAUUCCUAUCCUGACAAACAAAUUUUACAAACCAGGACUAGAAAGUAAAAGAAAUAAGCAUUUGAACAAGCAAACAUUUGUGCCACCAUUAGAAGGUUGGGUUUGUAGAGCCUGGCAUAUAUAUCCUUUUCACCAAUGGUAAUCAAGCAUUGAUAAGACAGUUUGCAUAAUUUAAAGGGGUAGUUGGAGGGCAAUUUGGGGACUUUGAUGUAAGUUAUGGAGAAGAUUGCUCGGAAAGCUCGAUUGAUCAUUGCUAGCUUGGCAAUCUUUGAUUGAUCCAAGUAGGAGAGAAUGGAGAGGGAUGGCAAUAUGGUAACAAAAUUGGCGAGUGACCUACGGAGGGGAGUUCGAGGAAGAGAAGGCAGUGAGAAAUGAGGAAAUGGGACAGUGAGAGGAGAGCCUGAAAGAUUGAGGGUUUUGAAUAUCUUUCUUUAUCAUACUGUAAUUAAUACGUAUGAAGAAAAAG